rnacentral:rRNA from 1 species
CCUACGGGGGGCAGCAGUGGGGGAUAUUGCACAAUGGGGGAAACCCUGAUGCAGCGACGCCGCGUGGGUGAAGAAGUAUUUCGGUAUGUAAAGCCCUAUCAGCAGGGAAGAAAGAAGACGGUACCUGACUAAGAAGCCCCGGCUAACUACGUGCCAGCAGCCGCGGUAAUACGUAGGGGGCGAGCGUUAUCCGGAUUCACUGGGUGUAAAGGGAGCGUAGACGGCCGUGCAAGCCAGGAGUGAAAGCCCGGGGCCCAACCCCGGGACUGCUCUUGGAACUGUGCGGCUAGAGUGCAGGAGAGGUAAGUGAAAUUCCUAGUGUAGCGGUGAAAUGCAUAGAUAUUAGGAGGAACACCAGUGGCGAAGGCGGCUUACUGGACUGUAACUGACACUGAGGCUCGAAAGCGUGGGGAGCAAACAGGAUUAGAUACCCGGGUAGUC